rnacentral:tRNA from 1 species
UGUAAUGUAGUCCAGUGGUAGAACACUUGCCUAGUGUGUACAGGCUCUGGGUUCAAUCCCCAGCACCACAA